rnacentral:lncRNA from 10 species
AUUGUCUUUAUUUUAAAUUUAAGUAGUACAGCAACUUUACAUGGCUUACCUAAACCACACAAUUAUUAAGUGAUAUAAUUGGGACUCUAAUCCAGGGCUGUUUCUAAGUAAUAUGUUCAUUUUUCUUCAAAUUGAUAACUUGAAUACAUCUUUUGAAAAAAUUUUUAUUAAUUUUUUUAAUUUAAUUAAUUAAGAUACUCUCAAAUUAUUGACGAUUAUGUGGUUCUUAUAACACUAGAUGGGUUAAAGUCAUACUUUUGACUUCUAUUAUUUAUGUGAUUUUAUGUGAUCUUGGCCAUUCAGCCUUUUUUUGGUAAAAAGGGAAUGAUAAUAUCUCUCAAGAGUAUUGCAAGAUUUAAAUGAAAUUAAAUGUGUUGAAAGCUUCUUUAAGAAAUGUACAGAGUGCAUAGAAGAAUCUCAAUUUUUAUAAGUUUCUCAAUUUUCCCUUUACAUUUUCAUUCUUAUUGUCAUCUGUCUCUCACUGAUGCUGCUGCUUCUCAUGUCGCCCCCUAAGUGCAGACUAGUUCUCACCCUCAGUGCUCUAACCACUGCCUCUAGAAGUAAAAUAAGUGUCCUCUUGCAGAAUACUUCUACUUCCUUCUCCUCAAACCCCUCCAGCUUGGAAUCUCAUACUAUUUGAUUAUAUUGAUCACUCUCCCAAUGUUUAGUCACUUUCCCUCAUUCUUUGCAGUCUUUACAACCUGACUUAACUGCCAUUAUUUUGAUGUCUCAUUUAAAUUACUUAUCUUCUUUGACAUUUGACCUCAUCAUUUCCAAUGUACUUGCUAUCUUCAGUAUCUAGCUAUUCAAUCUCAUGAUCUCAGCUCAAACCACGUUAUUACUCCUAAUUGCAAAUUUUUACAAUCUAACUUUUAAGUCUCCUGCCUUCCGAACAUUAACUUCUAUCUUUCUAGUUCAUUCCAUUUACUACAACUUCAAAAAUACUGUGACUCAUCCUGGAUCUACAAUCUCAUACAAUAUACAAUACAGUCCUUAUACAAUUCUCAAUCCAGUUUUCUCCACACAUCCUUUACUUCUCAGCAAACCCACCUUCAAAACAUUUAAAUAAUUUUUACUACUGCUGUUAUCCACCCAGGCCAAGCCAAAAUCAUGUCUCAUCUGAAUUUUUAUCCCCCUUCCUGCUUCUGCAUUGGCCCUCACCCUCAGUCUAUUCUCAAUACCCAAGCAAGAAUAUAACAUAGUAUCAUGGAGAUCAUGCCACUCUGCUCAUUCACUUUUAAGGACUUCUAAUUCCACUCUGGGUCAUUAUUGUACAGAUUAUACAGCUCUACUCAUGCUCCCCACCAGGCACACCUCUUUGAUCACAGCCCUGUUGCUCUUCCCCUCAUGCCUCUGUUCUAGUUUUGCUGUACCCAACACUUCCUGGUGCUCUUUGGGCAGGCUGGGAAUUGUCUCUGUGUUAGCCCAUUCGAGCAGCUAUAACAAAAUACCAUAGACUAAGUAGCUUAUAAAUGACAGAAAUUUAUUUUUCACAGUUCUGGAAGCUAAGUCCCAGAUCAAAGUGCUCACAUAUUCCAUAUAUGAUGAGGCCCUAUUUCCUAGUUCAUAGACCCAUCUUCUUCACAUGGUGGAGUCGUCAUAUGGUGGAAGGGACAAACCAACCCCCUCAGGCAUCCUUUAUAAAGGCACCAAUCUCCUUCAUGAAGGCUCUGUAUUCAUGACAUAAUCACCUUCCAAAGACCUUAACUUUUAAUAGUAUCAUACUGUGAAUUACAUUUCAACCUAUGAAUUUGGAGGGGGGUGGUUGUCAACAUUCAGACCAUAGCACUCUCACAUUAGAUGCUUUGUACAUGGUUUCUCUGACUGAAAACACCUGUCUUCAAGUUCCCCCCUGAAUUGUUUCCUUAUCUCCUGGAUUAGUUCCUUCUCAUGCUGCUAAUAAAAACAUAUCCUAGACUGGGUAAUUUAUAAAGGAAAGAGAUUUAAUUGAGUCACAGUUCUGCACAGCUGGUGAGACCUCAGGAAACUUACAGCCAUGGUGGAAGGGGAAGCAACACAUCCUUCUUCACGUGGUGGCAGCAAGGAGAAGUGCCAAGCAAAAUGGGGGAAAAAACCCUGAUAAAACCCUCAGAGAACAUGAGAAUUCAUUCAUAUCACAAGAAUAGCAGCGUGGAGGUAACUGCCCCCAUGAUUCAAUUGUCUCCCACCAGGUCCCUCCCAUGACAUGUGGGGAUUAUGGGAACUACCAUUCAAGCUUUAGAUUUAGUGGGGGACCCAGUCAAACCAUAUCACCUUCUUCAAGUCUUUCACUCAAAUGCUACUGUCUCCGUCAUGCCUUCCUUAUUUCCCUACUUAAAAUUAUAUCUCCUCCUCGUGUUCUUUAUUUGCUUUGUCUGCUUUACUUUCCUCCAUAGCACUUAGCAACACUUAACAUAUUAUGUAGUUUAAUUAUUUAUGUUGUUACACAUCUCCUUCCAAGAGAAUGUAAGCUCCAAAAAGGCAUAUUUUUCUUUAUUUUCUUUUUUUCACUGCUAUAUCCGCAGUGUCUACAAUACAAUGUGGUACAAGGUAGGAGCUUAAUGUGAAUGAAUGAAUGUUAGUCGUAUUACCUUUUAAAUUUACCUUAUUUUUUAAUUUUCUACAUUUUCCACAUUCCUUCAUCCUUUCCACCUUCCUACAUCCUGUGGGAUGUGCAUACAGAAAGCAGCAACAUUAAGGUAAAAAGUUCAACCUUUGGAUUAAUAUUUAAAUCUUGAGACAGUUUUGCUUUUCUGUUGCCUUUAGCAAAACCACAUUCCUGCUGCUGUCAGUUAUGAUGCACUGAGAAAACUUCAGAGACCUAAACUUUUUCCAGAGAAGAGAAGCUUUACUGGUGUUCCAGCCCUAAGAAACUUAAAUCCUCAGUGUGACACAACUCAGUCCUUCUACUGCAGCAGCUCUUUUAUAAAUGCCUCCCAAAGCUCCAAGAAGGAACAAAGAAUGUGACCCAGUAAGAUCACACCAUGAGUCUAUAUUGCAGAAACCUUUGUUCAACAAAACUGCAGAUGCUCUGUUGAAUCCACUGGAGAUUGUUCUGAUACUAAGGACAAGUAUCAAACAUCUUUCCUGUGAAAAAUUCCCUCUCCUAGUACUUUAGUUCUGUGGAUCCAAAAUUUAUAGCAUUCUUCUACCACCACAGGGGCUCAUAUGACAUUAACAGACAAGACACUUUUCAGAAAGACAGGUUGUUCUUUUGGGCCACAUCUAAGAAAUCUUUGUCUAGCCAAAAGCCACAAAUAAUUUCUCAUUUUUUGGCUUCUGGAAGAUGUACAGUUAAAUGUUAUAUUUGGGACUGUUAUCUAAUUUGGUUAAAUUGCACUCUACAAUAUGGUAUUUGAAUUGAUGAAAAAUUAGUAAAUGUUAAUAUUUUUUAAAGUAGCCAAAUCUUGCAAUUUAUAUAUAAUAGAGAAGACUAGAAAAUCCCCCAUAUUUAUUUCCUCUUACUUCGUACUACUAAAAUUUGUAUUUAGGCAUUUGGUUUCUCAGAUAAACAUUACAUUCCCCAGUAUAUGGUUCUAUCUGGCUUGGUGACGACAUGUUGAACAUUAAGAUGUGAGCAGAAGUAAUACAUACACACUCUUUUUCAUGUCUUUAAUUGAAUGGGAUAUUGGCCCAUUUUUUCUUCCAGUUUAUUACACUGAAUAUUGACAUGUUAUUUUCCAAUAUUGAGACAAUCAAUGACAAGACUUUAAGAGUAACAAUGUAAAAAUACAGAAGUUGUCUGAGUUUAUCAACAAUCCCCUGGAUUAGAACCCCCUACCAGUUCUAGGUCAUCUAAUAUAUAGACAUUGUGUUCAGUAGAAAUAAAUAUAUAUAUUUUUUAUUAUGCUUUAAGUUCUAGGAUACAUGUGCACAACAUGCAGUUUUGUUACAUUGGUAUACACGUGCCAUGUUGGUUUGCUGCACCCAUUAACUCAUCAUUUACAUUAGGUAUUUCUCCUAAUGCUAUCCCUCCCCCUGCCCCCACCCCCGACAGGCCCUGGGGUGUGAUUUUCCCCACCCUGUGUCCAAGUGUUCUCAUUGCUCAAUUCCCACCUAUGGGAAUACAUUUUUAAAUCAUUUUUAAAGGUGUUAUUACAUUCUGAUUGAACAUUUUCAGAAAGAAUAAAUAAUUUAAUACAAGAAGUGGGCCACUUCAUGUAACAAAACAAACCACCACUACAGCAACAACAACAAAAAACACUAAUGAAUGUGACUUUAGCUUUGCAACAUCGUGACAGACUAGCAAGUUAAUGACAUUUGUUAUGCCAUAGAAAAUAUUUGUUGAAUUGCCACUCUAAUGACUUUAUAUCAGCCAACUCAUUAUCAACACUAGAAAAGAUGAUUAAAAAAUACUUCAGUACGUUCACGUGUUGGCUUGUUAACAUUUUUAAGAGUCUAUAAGAGAAAAAUGCAUCCAAUCUUGACAAAAAUAUUUUUCAAGUAUCUUGUAGGUACGUACAACUAACUACCUUGUGAACAAAAGUCACUAUAUAAUUAUAUAAUUUCUGACACUUAAAAAAGUUUAUUGUGCUAAAGAAGAUAUAUGUUCUAAUACCAAAUCCACAUAUAAAAUAAUUGACUUAAAUAAUUUAAGAUGCUCUUUUAUAUAUUUAUAUUAAAAACUUUACAGAGAAUAAAAAAAGCAUUAUACAGGCUACUUAUGGUUUUUGAUGUUUGGAUCUACAAUACAUGUAUCAAAGAUUGUGGAAAUAAAUCAAACAAUAUAUUCAAUUGGACUUAAUUGCAUUAUUACAUGCCAAGUGUCGUAUACCAUCUAUUUGCACAUAACACUUUUUAAUUUAGGUAAAAUUAUUAUCAUAAAGCUACAUGAAUUUAUUUUAUUCCAUGUUAUUAUUUAUGUAUUGUUAGGAACAUUUGCUUAAAAAUCAUAUUUGGACAUAGUUAGUAUCAGAUACUUUACAUCCUUUGAAUCAGUUAUUUUAUAACAGUAUAUACUAAACAUCAUUACUCCUUUUCAAACAUAAAUAACGCAAUACAAAUUGGACAAAAAAUUCAGGAAAGAUCUGGGAUCAAAAAGGAGGUAUUGAAACAUCACAUGUACUCCAUAAUUAUAUACAAAUAUUUUGUACCCAUAAUAUUUAAAAUACAGAAAAUUAAAAGGUGCAUUUUCCUCAAAGUGCAUGCUUCUUUUGCUAUGCAAAACUGCAAGAUAUGGAAAGAAGUGUAUUAAAACACUAAAUCACUUUAUGUGGAAGAUAAAAGGGAUGGUACCCAAUGUAAGACUUCAUGUAGUGCACUGAUACAUUCAAUACAAAUGAUGUAUUAACUUCAAGAUAACAUGAGAAAGUUAAAUUAUCUAACUUAUUUCAAACUAGGGGAUAGUAUGUUCUCAUUAUUAGAAGCCAGAAUUCUGCUUAUCCAUUUCUAUUAUUAGAAAAAAACAUAAUUUUUAUUCUUGUCUUAAAAAUAGACACCAUGAUAUCAUUCUCUGUAAAUGCAGCAUGAUAGUCUGUUUACAGAGUUUAUAUCAUUCCAAGACUGCACUUCUAAAGUGAGAAAAUAUUAAAGGAUAUAAACUCACUCCUCUCUACAAAAUUCCUUAUUUUUUAUGCAAUGGCUUUAAAAUGUAUGGAAGGGGAGUUAUGGAAACAAUCCAUACCUGGAAAGCAUUCUAUCCAUGCCUUUGAAAUGGUUAUCUAGUACUAGAUUCUUAUCAGUGCCUAGCUAUGUAAUGUGUGUAGCUUAAGAUUUUUAAGAAAGAAGGAUAAAAUGCUCAAUAUAAAUUUAAAAAGCACUUUUAUUGGAAUAUUGAAUCAUAUAUUUGCUUUCUGUAAGUCCUUUUAUCUAUAAAAUAAUAGUUGAGAAAGGCAAAUAGAAUAUGUGGAGGAAUUAAAAAUUCAGUUGUAGGGUGGUAAAUGAAAACCAAAUUUUUCAUUCACCACAUUAAAUGUAAAUGGGUAUUAUACUCAAUUUAAGCAGCAAAGUUGCUUUUUUUUUUUUUUUUUUUUUUGAGACAGAGACUCACACUGUCGCCCGGGCUGGAGUACAAUGUUGCCAUCUCGCUUCACUGCAACCCCUGCCUGCUGGGUUCAAGCCAUUCUCCUGCCGCAGCCUCCCGUGUAGCUUCUUAAGAUGUGAAGAUUUUUAAAUUAAGAUGACUCUUGGGAUGAACCAUCUUGUGUUGGUUAAAGACUUUUACUGACAUAUUUUUAAUAAUUUUUUUAACUUUUAUUUUCAGGUCAAUGGCACAUGCGUAGGUUUGUUAUGUAGGUAAACUAGUGUCACAGGGAUUUGUUGUGCAGAUUAUUUCACCACCCAGCUAUUAAGCCUAGUACCCAUUAAUUGUUUUUCCUGAUCUUCUGCUUCCUCCCACCAUCCACCCUCCCAGAGGCCCCAGUGUCUGUUGUUUCCCUCUAUGUGUUCAUGUGUUCUCAUAAUUUAGCUCCCAUUUGUAAAUGAGAACAUGCAGUAUUUGGUUUUCUGUUCCUGCAUUAGUUUGUUAAGGAUAAAGACCUCCAUCCAGCUCCAUCCAUGUUCCUGCAAAGGACUUGAUCUCACUCUCUUUUAUGGCUGCCUAACAUUCCAUGGUGUAUAUGAACCACAAAAUAAAGAUGGUUCUUAACUUUUAAAUUAAGAUUUUUAAAUUAAGAUGAAUCUUGAUUUUUAAAUUAGUAUGGUUUUAAGAUAGUUUUACAGAUAGAUUAGAUAAUCUAUCUAGAGAUAGACAGGGAGAGAUAUCUAUCAAUACAUAUCUCUAUCUAGAUAUAGAUAGAUGGUUUUCUAUAUAGACCUAUCUAUCUAUAUAUGUAUACAUCUAUAUAUGUCUACACAUAUCUCUAUACACAUAUAUAUAUUUAUAUCUACAUCUAUAUUUCUACAUGUAUAUAGGUAUGUAUAUAUCUACAUGUAUAUAUGUAUAUAGAUAGAUAUAUACAUAGGUAUCUGUAUAUAUGCAUAUACAUGCCUAUCUUUAUCUACAUGUAUAUAGAUAUCAUAUACACACAUAGAUAUAUAUAUAUAUCGGCAUGUAGAUAUUUAUGUAGAUAUACAUAUAUAGAUAUCUGCAUAUAUACAUUUGUAUAUAUAGACAUAGAUAUAAAUAUUAAUAUAUCUAUAUAUGUAUAUAAAUACAUAUACAUAUCUGUAUCUGUAGAAGAUAUCUACUAUCUUCUAUCUAUAUAUCUAUCUAUAGAACCAUCUUAAUUUAAAAACCUUUCAUAUAUGCAUAUAAAAGGUAAUCAAACACAAGCCAAAUGAAAAUUUGUUUAGCUAUGUUAAUAUCAGACAAAAGAGAUUUUAAGGCAGAAAUUAUUACUUGAAAGGAAGAUGUAUCCAUCAUCCAUAUAAAAGAAUCAACUAUUGAGGAAGUUGUCAAACUUGUGUAUGUAUAUUCACUCACACACAGUUAACACACAUUUACAAUUUUUAUAGAACUAAAAGGAGCAAUAGCCGCGUCUUCAAUCAUAAAGACUUUAAUAUACCUUUUUCAAUAACUGAUAGCAAAAAGGAUACAAAAUAUCAAUAAUAAUAGAAAAAUUUAAAGCAGUAGGAUUAAAUACUUUGAUAUAAAAACUGCACCCAAAAAUAGCAAAACACACAAUUUAUUAUAAUGUAUUUGGAACGUGUUUCAAAAUUUACCAUAGCUAUCUAUAGAUAUCUCUGUCUAUCUAGGUAGAUAGAUAAUAGAUAGGUAGGUAGGUAGAUAGAUAGAUAGAUAGAUAGAUAGAUAGAUAGAUAGAUAGAUAGGUUAGAUAGACAGAUAUAGGCUGAGGUUAGGCCCAAAACAAGAAUCAAUAAAUACCAAAAAUUUGAAAUCCUUGACAGUGUUUUUUGUACAACAAUGUUAUUAAGCUGCAAAUCUAUAGCAAGACUUUGAAAGUGACCAAAUGUUUAGAAAUUAAGCAUCACAUUUCUAAGUUAUUCAUGGAUCGAAAAAGUAAUUACAGUGAAUAUUAAAAUAUAUUUUGAAUUUAAUAAAAACGAAAGUAAAAAUACUGCUUGUUAAAAGAUGGGAGGCUUAGGCAAACCUCAGCUUGGAGAUAAAUGCAUAUGCUUACAUAAAUAUGUUUAAAAAAUUAAAGCUUGAAAAUUAAUAAUCUAAUUGUCAAUUUCAAAAAUUUAAAAUGUGAUGUCAAAUUAAAUCCAAAGAAUUAGAAAAGAGAAGAUACAUAAGAAGCAUGAGAAAAGGAAACAAUCAUAAAAUAAAUGAAAUCAGCAAAAGCCAAAGUUACUUUGAAAAGACUGAUAAAAAUAUACCAUGAUUAUGCAUGAAAUUUAAAAAAAAGAGUAUCCACAAAUUCUAAAUAUCAUGAAUAAUAACAAGGAAAUCAUUAUAGAUUCUAUAGUCAUGGGAGAGAAAAAGAGAAUGUAAUAAGUAACUUUAAGUCAAAAAUUUUGAAAUAAUUUGAUGAAAUAGAUACAUUUCUAGAAAAUCAUUAAUAGUGACACAAGAAUAAAUAGCAAAUCCUAAUAGCUCUAUAUCUAUUAAAAAUAAAAUUACAAUUAAAGCUUUCCAAAUGUAGUGAGUCUAAAUCAAAUAAAAUAUUAAAAAUCUGAAAUGUUUCCAGGAAGAAACAUUGAAUUCCUAAUAUAAAAUGUAACAUAUCAUAUGCAAUCCCUUUACUGAAAAUUGUGAAAUUUUACUGAGAGAAAUUAAAGAUAUUCAACAGAAAUAAAGGUGUACUGUGAGUCCUAUGUCAUUCCUGGUAUUAGAAGAAAGAUUCAGUAUUUUAAAUAAAUCUAUAUUUGUAAUACACUGAAAAUCACAAUACUGUGAUUAGUAAUAGCAUAAUUUGUCUGCAUUAUAUUUGGUGGCAACUGAAAAACUGACUAUAAAAUGCAAAUAAAAAUGCAGUGUAUAGAUAACUUUGAAGAAAAAAUAUAAUGUGAAGACUUACACUAUUAGAUAUAAAGUUUUUAUAAAUGUAUAUUAAUUAUGACAUUAUGGAAAAGGUGCAAGUAUAGAUAUUUCAAUGAAACAGAAUAGAGAGCUCGUAAAGAGAACCACACAAUAUAUUUAGCUGAUUUGUGAAAAAAAUAGUGCUUCAGUACAAUGAGGAAAAGAUUCAUUUUCAAUAAAUUGUGCUGUCUUUCAUACAUCGGUACAGAUAAAAAUGAAUAUUAACAUCCAACCUCACAACAUACACAAAAAUUAUUUCAUAUAGAAGCCAAUGUGUAACAUAAAACAGUACAGUUUUUAAAAAGUAAUACAGAGGACACUUCUAUGACCUUAAGAUUUUAAAAAAGACUCAAAAAGUAACGAUUGAAGGCUAAUAAAUAAGAUAAAUAAGUUAAUAAAUAGUAAUAAAAUAACAUAAAAAAUAAGGAUUUGUAAUCAUAAAAUAACUCACUGAGAGUGAAAAGGCAAGCAACAGAAUGGGAAAUGAAAUUUGCAAACAUAAAUACAAUAAGAACUCUUGAUCAAAAGAUACUUUUUAAACUCUACAAAUGAAUUUUUUGAAAAAAAAAAUAUGGCCAGGUACAGUGGCUCACGCCAUUAAUCCCAGCACUUUGGGAGGAACACUUGAGCCCGAGAAUUU